UACACUGCCCUUUAGGGCCUCCAAAUCCCCAGCUGAAUUAUUCCCAUCCAUCUAGUAGGAAAGGAAAAAAGAAUGUUGAAGGAUCAUGCAAAAUGUUUUAGGGGCCAGUCCUGGACGUAAAAUAUGUUACAUUGGCUAGAAUGCUGUUACACAUUGCCACCUAUUUCAAGAGAUGCUGAGAUUUGGAGUCUUCUUGGGUGCCCAGAGAUUUGAGUAUCACCUAGCACUGUUUCUGCUUCAGUAUAUGCAAUGCAACUUUAUUCUGUUAAAAACAGGAGGUCUAUCAAUAGUUUCUUACCACAAGGGAAAUGGAAGUAGAACUCUGAAGCUAAAUCAGAGGACUCCAAGCAAAUGAAGUGACUGAAAGCAAGAAUGGCUCAUUGCCCUUGAGCUACACAGAAAUGUAUAGGUGGGUGUAUUGGGUCGGUUCCCUGGAAGCACAACCUCAGAUGGGGAUUCUUGUGCAAAAGAUACACGGAGGAAGAGCUCAAGGAAGUAACUUGCAAUGAAGCAAGGGGAGCAAGCUGGAGCAGGAGAAAAGAUCAGGCAAAGGCAUGCUUUCAGAAGUCUAGCCUCGGCCUCAUCCACAGGGAGCUCCAGAGAGUGAAUGGUACCAUGCAGCUGGUCAACCUUCUUGGAGGAGGGAGCUGCUGAUAGCCUUCAGUAGACAGCACUUGCACUAGCCAAGGGAUGAGUGCACCAGCCCAGUGGAGGGGAUCUGGGUAGAGCACCUAUGCCAUCUGCUAUAAUAGGAAGGACAUGCUUUUCCUUUUCGUAUCCUCUACCUGAAGCAAUAUAUCACGUACUCAGCAGACGCUCAAUAAGUGUUUGAGAAAUGAAGAAACAAAAAGACAGAGGGAAGGAGAGAAGAAAAGAAACAAGAUUACAGAAAAUUCUAAAAUACUCUUGGGCUCCAAGAAAUGCAUCUUCAAAUAAGGAACUUCACAUACUUAUGCUGAGCAAUGAGAGAGAUAUUUUGAGACCACUCUGGUAACUGAAUUGAAAAUAGGCUAAAGGAGGACAAGAGCAGAAGGGAGGAAAGAAUUGCAAUAAACCAGGCAAGAGAUGGC
rnacentral:lncRNA from 1 species